CCUACGGGGGGCAGCAGUAAGGAAUCUUCCACAAUGGACGAAAGUCUGAUGGAGCAACUCCGCGUGCAGGAUGAAGGCUUUCGGGUCGUAAACUGCUUUUAUGAGUGAAGCGGUAACUCAUGAAUAAGGGUCGGCUAACUACGUGCCAGCAGCCGCGGUCAUACGUAGGACCCAAGCGUUAUCCGGAGUGACUGGGCGUAAAGAGUGCGUAGGUGGUUUGUUAAGCGAAUAGUGAAAUCUGACGGCUCAACCGUCAGACUAUUAUUCGAACUGGCAAACUCGAGAAUGGUAGAGGUAACUGGAAUUUCUGAAGUAGGGGUAAUAUCCGUAGAUAUCAGAAGGAACACCAAUGGCGUAGGCAGGUUACUGGCCUUUCUGACACUGAGGCACGAAAGCGUGGGGAGCGAACCGGAUUAGAUACCCUUGUAGUC
rnacentral:rRNA from 1 species